UGACUUUGAAGUAAAUUAUAGAGUUAUACUUAUUGAACUAAAAUUAUGAAUAAGCUAAUCUAAACAUAGUCUAAGUUAUGAAUUUUUUUUACUAUUUUGUUUCUUUUCUAAGAUAAGGUUUUUGCACUAUCAAUUUUUGAAUUUUUUUUUGCUCUCUAAGAUAAGCUUUGCAUCGUCAAUUUUUGAACUACCGUUUAAGUUGAAUACAUCAAUUUAAAAAAAAUAUAGUUUAACUUAUGAUAUUUCAAGCAAUGUUUAUAAAUAUCAUGAAAUGUUGAACAUUAAUGUUGAUUUUGAUGAUCUUAUUGUGAAACCUUAAUGUGACUUUGAUUUAAUU
rnacentral:lncRNA from 1 species